rnacentral:rRNA from 1 species
UACGGGGGGAGCAAGCGUUGUUCGGAUUUACUGGGCGUAAAGGGCGCGUAGGCGGCACCGCAAGUCGACUGUGAAAUCUCCGGGCUUAACUCGGAAAGGUCAGCCGAUACUGCGGGGCUAGAGUGCAGAAGGGGCAACUGGAAUUCUUGGUGUAGCGGUGAAAUGCGUAGAUAUCAAGAGGAACACCUGCGGCGAAGGCGGGUUGCUGGGCCGACACUGACGCUGAUGCGCGAAAGCCAGGGGAGCGAACGGG